rnacentral:rRNA from 1 species
UACGGGGGGGGCAAGCGUUGUUCGGAAUUACUGGGCGUAAAGCGCGCGUAGGCGGCUCUUCAAGUCAGGCGUGAAAGCCCCGGGCUUAACUCGGGAACUGCGCUUGAUACUGUCGAGCUAGAGUGUGGAAGGGGCGAUUGGAAUUCCGUGUGUAGCGGUGAAAUGCGUAGAUAUACGGAGGAACACCAGGGGCGAAGGCGGAUCGCUGGGCCAACACUGACGCUGAGGAGCGAAAGCUAGGGGAGCAAACGGG